UUCAUUCCUCGCACAGAUUAGGGUAACCCGAGCUACAAACCCUAAACGCUACGUCUAAACUUUUCCGACCUUCUCUUUCAAUUCGGUGACUCCGCCGGCGGCGCGUAAGAGAUUCCGUCAGCGCGUGAGGGUACAGUUCGCGCGUGAUUCCUAGUUCACCGCUGACCUAUGCGUUGUUCGACCCGCAUUGGAGAGUUCACGCCGGAGGGACGGUGGAAUCUCACCGGACGGCCGUGAUUUCGCACCUCUAUGGCUUCCGCCGUCCUUGCUAACCGGAACGAACCGAAUUGGCCACAGCAUAGAGGCGGUGGAGCUGGAUUCAUGGGAAAAGUACCUUUUUCUAACCCUAACCCUAAUUCUAAUCCUAAAUUAGCGAAUAGCAAAAGGACCCAAUCGGCGUCCGACGAUGCUUCCUCUAUCAACAGGAGAUCGAACGACGCUGGCGUAAGUCACUCUCAAUACGUGUGCUUCAGCUUAUCUACGUGCACAAAGAAGGAGCUCAACGACAUCAAAAAUCGCCUUGUGUCGGAGCUUGAACAGGUUCGCAAGUGCAGAAAUCGAAUCGAAUCCGGCGAGUUACAGACCGGGCAGAGCUCCAACGGCCACCCGAAGAAACCGUCAAGCAAAAAGGUUUCCGGCAACAAACGACCCUUACCGUUGAAUUCCUUUAAGGAAUUGAAACGGUCGCAUUCGGAAGUUGGGAACACGAUGAAGGUUUGCUCGCAGAUUUUGCAGAAGCUGAUGAAACACAAACAUGGGUGGAUCUUCAAUGUUCCUGUUGAUGUUGUCGGAAUGGGACUCCACGAUUACUAUGAUAUAAUUAAGCAACCCAUGGAUCUGGGUACUGUGAAGUCGAAUCUCUCUAAGAACGUGUACUCCACGCCUUCGGAUUUCGCUUCUGAUGUGAGGUUAACUUUCAACAAUGCACUGACUUAUAACCCUAAGGGCCAUGACGUAUACACCAUGGCGGAGCAGCUUCUGGCAAGGUUUGAGGAGCUGUAUCGGCCGAUGCGCGACAAAUCUGAAGGUUGGAUUAGACAAGAUCAAGAUUACGAUGAGGAGUUGCAGGCUAGUUCUUGGAGCCACGUGGAGCCGGAGAGGGUGAAAAAGAAGGAGAAUCCAAUCCCUCCUGCGAAAUUGCAACAAGAGCCUCCCCAGCCCCCUGCGAGUUCAUCAAACCCCCCAUUGUUGCAGUCUCCUGUGCGCACGCCAUCUCCAAUGCGAGCCCCUCCUGUGAAGCCUUUGAAACAACCGAAGCCAAAGGCUAAGGAUCCCAACAAGAGGGAGAUGAGUCUGGAGGAGAAACACAAAUUGGGGUUAGGGUUGCAGAGUUUGCCAGCAGAGAAAAUGGAACAGGUGGUGCAGAUCAUAAGGAGGAGGAACGGGCAUUUGAAGCAGGAUGGGGAUGAGAUCGAGCUAGAUAUUGAGGCUGUUGACACAGAGACCCUUUGGGAACUUGAUCGGUUAGUGACUAAUUAUAAGAAGAUGGUUAGCAAGAUUAAGAGGCAGGCAUUGAUGGGCAAUAUUAACAACAACAAUGAGCAGUCUAGCAGAGGGAACGGGGAAUUGGCUGCUAGCGAGAAGGUUGAUGGGGGUGCAGUUGAGGUGAAGAAGCCGAAGAAAGUAGAAGCAGGGGAUGAGGAUAUUGACAUUGGAGACGAGAUGCCAAUGAGUAUGUUUCCCCCUGUGGAGAUUGAGAAAGAUAAAGAUGUUGGUGGAGGGCAUGCAAGCAGUAGUUCUAGUAGCUCUGGCAGUUCAAGCAGUGAUUCAUCAUCGUCAAGUGAUUCAGAUUCAGGGAGUUCCUCGGGGAGCGAUUCUGAAGCAGACAAUGGGCAUUUGUAGCAGUCCACCCCUUGUGAUUUUGGAACUUAUGAUCAAACUGAUCUUUUGGGGUAGGCGGGUAAAGAAAAUGGUUGCUUUAUUUGCUUCCUCUGAGGGCUCGCUUGAAUGCAUGAGGGAUUGUGGACCGUUUGUUAGUUCGUUUUGGUGAAAGUAGUAACGGUUGGAUUGUGGCGCCGACCACUUGCUCCAGGACUUGUGGUGUCAUAGUUGUACAAAUGAUUUGGAAACCGAAGUAAUCGUCAAAACAAUCUGUAGGCCAGAAAGUAGGCUUAAAUGUGGUGAAAAUUCUAGGAUAGAAUCGUAAAAGGUUAGGAAUAGAUCCAAGAGAAUUAGUGUUUUUUGAGUUUUACCUUGUACACAUUACAACAGUAAAUAGAAUGGAACAACCUUCUUUGAAAAAGCUUUA